rnacentral:rRNA from 1 species
CCAGACUCCUACGGGAGGCAGCAGUGGGGAAUAUUGGGCAAUGGGCGCAAGCCUGACCCAGCAACGCCGCGUGAAGGAAGAAGGCUUUCGGGUUGUAAACUUCUUUUCUCAGGGACGAAGCAAGUGACGGUACCUGAGGAAUAAGCCACGGCUAACUACGUGCCAGCAGCCGCGGUAAUACGUAGGUGGCAAGCGUUAUCCGGAUUUACUGGGUGUAAAGGGCGUGUAGGCGGGGACGCAAGUCAGAUGUGAAAGCCACGGGCUCAACCUGUGGCCUGCAUUUGAAACUGUGUUUCUUGAGUACUGGAGAGGCAGACGGAACUCCUAGUGUAGCGGUGAAAUGCGUAGAUAUUAGGAGGAACACCAGUGGCGAAGGCGGCCUACUGGACGGUGACUGACGCUGAGGCUCGAAAGCGUGGGGAGCAAACAGGAUUAGAUACCCCCGUA